UGUGCUUCUAUCUUAAGGGCAAAGUACUACCCUGAUGGUGACUUGAUGAAUGCUAAACAAAGGAAAGACUCUUCUUUUACAUGGCAGAGUAUUAUGACAAGCAUCAUUACCCUGAAAAGAGGCUAUAUCUGGCGAGUGGGGAAUAGACAAAAAAUAAAUAUUUGGGAAGAUGCUUGGAUCCCAAACUGUGCUAAUAGGAGAAUUGUAACACCGAAGGGGGGACAUCUGUUAACCAAGGUAGGUGAUCUCAUUGAUCCUGUGUCCAAUAAUUGGGAUGAAGAACUCAUCAAACAAACUAUGUGGCCCAUCGAUAUACAACGGAUUCUUUCAAUUCCACUCUCGCAAUAUGAUAUGCCAGAUUUUAUUGCUUGGAGCUAUACAAAAAAUGGAAUGUUCUCGGUUCGGUCA
rnacentral:rRNA from 1 species